AGUCGAACGAGAGAGAAGGAGCUUGCUUCUUCGAUCGAGUGGCGAACGGGUGAGUAACGCGUGAGGAACCUGCCUCAAAGAGGGGGACAACAGUUGGAAACGACUGCUAAUACCGCAUAAGCCCACGGGUCGGCAUCGACCAGAGGGAAAAGGAGUAAUCCGCUUUGAGAUGGCCUCGCGUCCGAUUAGCUAGUUGGUGAGGUAAUGGCCCACCAAGGCGACGAUCGGUAGCCGGACUGAGAGGUUGAACGGCCACACUGGGACUGAGACACGGCCCAGACUCCUACGGGAGGCAGCAGUGGGGAAUAUUGCACAAUGGGGGAAACCCUGAUGCAGCGACGCCGCGUGGAGGAAGAAGGUCUUCGGAUUGUAAACUCCUGUUGUUGAGGAAGAUAAUGACGGUACUCAACAAGGAAGUGACGGCUAACUACGUGCCAGCAGCCGCGGUAAAACGUAGGUCACAAGCGUUGUCCGGAAUUACUGGGUGUAAAGGGAGCGCAGGCGGGAAGACAAGUUGGAAGUGAAAUCCAUGGGCUCAACCCAUGAACUGCUUUCAAAACUGUUUUUCUUGAGUAGUGCAGAGGUAGGCGGAAUUCCCGGUGUAGCGGUGGAAUGCGUAGAUAUCGGGAGGAACACCAGUGGCGAAGGCGGCCUACUGGGCACCAACUGACGCUGAGGCUCGAAAGUGUGGGUAGCAAACAGGAUUAGAUACCCUGGUAGUCCACACCGUAAACGAUGAUUACUAGGUGUUGGAGGAUUGACCCCUUCAGUGCCGCAGUUAACACAAUAAGUAAUCCACCUGGGGAGUACGACCGCAAGGUUGAA
rnacentral:rRNA from 1 species